GCACCAUGGCACCAUGGCACCAAGGCGCCAUGGCACCAAGGCACAACGCACCGUGGCAAAUUCAAAAGAGCGUAAACUUACAUUCGAUCAUCCUAAUAUUUUCCUGACGUUCCUCGAUCCUCCUCACCGUUGGACACUCAUUUCUCUACAUAUCCGCUCUAAUUUUGUAUUUUAAAUAUAUGUCAAUGCUACCUCAUAUGUCGUGGCGAUUUUCAUAAUGUCCCGUCGCCUUUUUUUCAAAUUUUUAUUUAAUAUCCUUAAAUUUAAAUAUUUUAUAUCGGUACGUCAUUCGUACAAAUACGUACUCAAUUUUUGGUUUAAGUCUACUUCAUUCUAAUAUGCAUAUUUUGGGGUUGUUACUUAUUUUUAUAUUUUUUUAAAAUUUUUAUUUAAUAUCCUUAAAUUUAAAUAUUUUAUAUCGUUAUGUUAUAUGUACAAAUAUGCAUUCGAUUGAUGGUUUAAGGUUAGUUCUGAGAAGUGUUCGAGUGUGAGCAUACCUGUCGGGACCCGAAAGAUGGUGAACUAUGCCUGAGCAGGGCGAAGCCAGAGGAAACUCAGGUGGAGGCCCGCAGCGAUACUGACAUGCAAAUCGUUCGUCUGACUUGGGUAUAGGGGCGAAAGACUAAUCGAACCGUCUAGUAGCUGGUUCCCUACGAAGUUUCCCUCAGGAUAGCUGGAGCUCGCGUGCGAGUUCUUUCGGGUAAAGCUAAUGAUUAGAGGCGUCGAGGGCGCAAUGCCCUCGACCUCGCGCGGCUGCUUGGUUGAGCCGCACCACGGAAUCAGGAGCUCCAAGUGGGCCAUUUUUGGUAAUCAGAACUGGCGAUGCGGGAUGAACCAAAUGCCGGGUUACGAUGCCAAAUUGUGUGCUAACCUAGAUCCCACAAAGGGUGUUGGUCGAUUAAGACAGCAGGACGGUGGUCAUGGAAGUCGAAAUCCGCUAAGGAAUGUGUAACAACUCACCUGCCGAAUAUACUAGCCUCGAAAAUGGAUAGCGCUUAAGCGCACAACCUAAACCCAGUCGUCGGGGCAAAUACCAAGACCUGAUGAGUAGGAGGGCACGACGGUCGCUGCAAAACCUUGGGCGUGAUCCCGGGCAGGGCGGCCGUCGGUGCAGAUCUUGGUGGUAGUAGAAAAUAUUCAAAUGAGAACUUUGAAGGCCGAAUAGGGGAAAGGUUCCAUGUUAACGGCACUUUCACAUAGGUUAGUCGAUCCUAAGGGUCAGGGAAACCCUGACAGACAGCACAUUUCGCGCGUGCUCCAAAAGAGAAUCAGGUUAAAAUUCCUAAACCGGGACGUGGCAGUCGACGGCAACGUUAGGAAGUUUGGAGACAUCGGAGGGAGCCUCGGAAAGAGUUAUCUUUUCUAUUUAACAGCCUUCCCACCCUGGAAUCAGCUAAGCCAUAGGUAGGGUCCAGCGGCUAGAAGAGCACCGCAUGUCGCGUGGUGUCCGAUGCGCUCCCGGCGGCCCUUGAAAAUCCGGAGGACCGAAUACCGUCCACGCCCGGUCAUACUCAUAACCGCAUCAGGUCUCCAAGGUGAACAACCUCUGGUCGAUGGAAUAAUGUAGGCAAGGAAAGUUUGCAAAAUGGAUUUGUAACUUCGGGAGAAGGAUUGGCUUUGAGGGCUAGGCACGGGGGUCCCAGUACCGAGCUCGUCGACUGUCGGUGGACUGCUCGAGAUGCUCCCCGCGCAUUGAACAGCCAACUCAGAACUGGUACGAACAAGGGGAAUCCGACUGUUUAAUUAAAAAAAAGCAUUGCGAUGGUCCCAACGGAUGUUCACGCAAUGUGAUUUCUGCCCAGUGCUCUAAAUGUCAAACUAAAGAAAUUCAACCAAGCUCGGGUAAACAGCGGGAGUAACUAUGACUCUCUUAAGGUAGCCAAAUGCCUCGUCAUCUAAUUAGUGAUGCGCAUGAAUGGAUUAACGAGUUUCCUACUGUCCCUGUCUACUAUCCAGCGAAACCACAGCCAAGGGAAUGGGCUUGGCAGAAUCAGCGGGGAAAGAAGACCCUGUUGAGCUUGACUCUAGUCCAACUUUGUGAAAUGACUUGAGAGGUGUAUUAUAAGUGGGCGCCGAAAGGCAAAAGUGAAAUACCAUUACUUUUAAUGUUAUUUUACUUAUUCCGUGAAUCAGAAGUGGGCCACUGCCCCUCUUUUUAGACCCAAGGCUCGCUCUGCGGGCCGAUCUGGGCGGAAGACAUUGUCAGGUGGGGAGUUUGGAUGGGGCGGCACAUCUGUUUAAGGAUAACGCAGGAGUCCUAAGAUGAGCAGAAAGAGAACAGAAAUCUCGUGUGGUAUGAUUCUCUGGCAAAAUCAUGUCUACUCCUGUAACUUGGGUUUUAUUUUAAGCAUAUAUAAGGGGGGUAGAGGUGUUGAAGGCACUUCAAGGCGACUGUCGGUAGUUGGCAUAGGCGCUCAGUGGCCAUGUCGGCGUGUAGCGUGGGCACAUGGAAGCAUGCAUGGCUAGUCCGUGCGAGCGGCAAGUGCUCGUGUAGCAACGUCGGCGGUGCUUCAUUGUACGUUCGUGUCAAUUAUCGGUGGCGGCGUCUGCGACGGAGCUGCUGGCGCUUGAAUUCAGACGAGGCGGUGCUAUCCUGAGAGCGGCGAGUCCUGGAUACUACCCUCGGGGCAAGCUCUAGGCACUGCACACAUGCGGCAGAGCCCAAUCUGCAGACGAGCGUCGACGGCCAUCGUGGGUGGCGCCCGUGCAUGAUCCUCGGCGUGCCUUCAUCUUCUCUGCUCCUCCCAAGGCCGGGCUAUCAUGUCAAGUGGGACUUGCUUCAGCCUUGCGACAUCCGCAUGGGUAGCAGCACACGAAAUCUAUUGUUGGGCGUUGGGGCC
rnacentral:rRNA from 1 species